GGGGGAUAGAGACUUGAACGUGGGGUAUGCAGGUAGCCAGUCACAUCGUAUGUGUCCUCGUGAAACGUGCUGCUCGCCUGAUCAGGAUAUGCGAUCUUAACGACAAAAACUUCUGUUAUGUUGAAGUGGGCUGUGGGUCAGCAGAGGCGCGUGGAGUCCAACGGCUCCACCUGCUGCAGGCCUCCGUUCAGGAAACCCAGGCGACGCUCCACCGGGAAGGAAAAUACACGGGAGAGGCAUGCAUCAGAGGGUUCCCCGAGGACGAGAGACAGUGUCUACAUGAGGCUAGACGCGGUGCCGGCUGCUCUGCGGGACGUCAGCAACUACAGGCUGAACGAAACACCUCCUAGGACCCCCGAGGCGAGGAACAGCCUGAAAAGACGGCAAUCCGAGGUUGUCAAGUCGCCCAGAAAACAGCCUUGCAUCGACAGCCAUGUCGGAAUAGGGAGUCAGGCGUGUUCGGGUUGGAUGUCAGCAAGUAAAUUCUCACUGGAUUCGGCAAGGUCGACUCUUCAGAUCGAGUAUUCUCCUUGUCCCAUCAAAGCGACCCAGAGCCUCAUGGCCCUAGCAGGCGAUUCCCCAGCAAGCCUUUAUUGCAUCAAUCAAUCUCCCAGUCCGGUCGAGCUGGAUCACAAGGAGAUACCUUUGCGUCCGGAAGAAAAAGAAAUCAUCCUUAAUACCCCGGUUAACUCCAGAGGUGCCGCAGUAAGGAGGGAAAUAGCGAGAAGGCUGUGGGAUUCUCCCCUCGUCGAAGUGUCACCUUUAGCCAAGCAGUUCAACUAUCUGAACAUGUGCAUCGACGAGGAAAGCUUACAGCUCUCACCGAUCAUACCGGAUUUUUCUUUUGAGAAAAAGGACGAAGACGAUGCCUUCGAGAAAAACAAGAGCAGGAUAGGAUCGCAGACUAACAACGACAGGAACGGAAACCUACGCGAUUUUGUAAAUAAUGUAAAUAAUUUUAAUGUUAGGGAUAAUCAAAGCGAAAAGAGCUCGGAUAUGUUCGCACCGUCGAUAGAUAUGGAAGCCCCUUCGGAGCUGAGGAGGCAGAAGGUGAUUAGAAGAAGGAAAUGGAAAGGAGGAUUGUCGGAUGGAGAGAGUGCAAGGAAGAUCGCAAGGUCCUGCCUGACACUGCCGAACGGCAUACCAAGUCCUUUCGAAAGCCCGGCUGUCAUGUGCAGGUUGAGACGUCCCGCUGUGAGUCUUCUGACCCUACCAAGCGGCAUUCCAAGCCCUCCGGAGCAAGAAGCCCCGGGUGAAGAGCUAGCCAUGCCUCUGAACUCACCAGGAAAAGAAAGCCCCUUGUCCAUCACAACCUGGGAAUCUCAUAACAUGCACUUUUUGAAAACGCCAAGGUUGACGGAAGCGCAUAUACUCAACGACGCGCCAAUCGACGAGAUGUCAGCCGGAUCCCCUUAUUCUUCUAAAAUCGAAUCAGACGAAGACGCCGUUUCAAGCCUUGGUUCGACAAGUCUGACAUGUAGCCCACAGAAUUACGAUGGGCAGAGCCGUUCCAGGCGUUGCCUUACUUACAAUUCUCCAGGUAAUUUGACAAAAAGCAGAAUGAGUCAGAGAAGAUCUUUAAGCUCAAAACCAUUGCAAGGCGAGCUAGAGCUAAACAUAUAUUUCACCUCAGGCCUUCUGACAAUACACAUCGUCCGAGGGAGGAACCUCCAACCACUCUCCGGCAGCGGGUCAUGCAACGCAUACAUCAAGGUCAGCAUGGUGCCUUGCGCGACUGAACGCACUUUUCACAGGACCUGCGUGAGGAAGGAUUCAUCCAACCCGAGGUUCGACACGAAAUUCACCCUGGAGGUCAACGAGCAGGACUACGAACGCAGGCUGCUCGUGUCUGCAUGGCACAGGGACAGGGGCAACAGGAAAAGCGAAUUCCUUGGGUGCAUGUCAUUUGCAGUGAAGCAUGUUGUUAAAAAGGAAAUAAAUGGUUCAUAUCGCCUCCUGUCCCAAAGCUCUGGACGAGUCAAAAAUGUUCCAGCGAUGACAAAUUCUGAAAACCUUUGGAACAACCAAACAGAAGUAAUGGCUAAUCAGUCUGAAUCUAGCGUGGAAGAAUUAAUUAGCGUGGAUGGAUCUAUUGUUGGAGCACCAAUAGAUACUUUUAAAGAAAGGAGAAGAAAGUCUACAAAAAAAGAAAUGGAAAGAGUGCAUGAAGACCAGAUAUUUCUCAGGCAUUUGGAGCUGGACCCUCUGGAGGACUCUGUGACAGGAAGCCCAAAAGGAGGUCGAACACCAUUCACAACAACAAGAACCCUCAAUAGACAGCCUGGAUCCAGUUAUGGUUUCUCGAUAGCAUGGACUCACCCUCCGAGGGUAGAGAGGGUGGAGUCUGGAUUGCCAGCAGACCAGGCAGGCCUUAGACCCGGAGACUAUGUUAUUUUCGUCGGGAAAACUAAUGUAGUCACUCUGCAAGAAGAAGAGAUUCUCCAGAUCAUAAAGUCAUCUGGUAACAAGCUAGUGCUAGAAGUGUACAGGAAGCCUGUCGGUGGUUCCAGACCAGUGCCUCCUACUGGAACGCAAGCAAGAUCCUCGACAGCAUGCUCUGCAGCUACAACUGCGACUGCAACUGCAUCCAUUGAAAUCACAAAACGGAGGCUCCACCUGCCACAAGUCACUUUCAACAGUGAGAGCAACCCACUGAGCGACGAGGAAUGCAGGAAAAGGAGCGUGUACCAACUGCUUGGAAAGGAGCAGCAGUAUGCACUGAGCUUGCAGUUUGGAAUCGCCAGAUUCAUGCUUCCACUGUCAGAGAGAAAGGACGUCAUCACGCAGAAUGAGCACACGAUCCUGUUCCAGAACACUCAAGAGCUCCUGAGGCAUACAGAGGAUAUACUCGAGUUGUAUGUUCAGGAUGAGACUUUAGGACAAUCAUUAGGAAGAAUUUAUCAAAAAAAGCUCAAUGCAAUAAACAGUGCAUAUAGGAGGUACUGCGUGGGGUUGAAAAAGGCUGACUGCCUCCUCGUAGAAAAGACUAGGAAUUCGACGUUUAUGAAAAUGGUAACUGAGCCACCAAUACCACGCAGAAGGCCUGAUCUGACAACUUUCAUCCACAAACCUCUAGAGCAUUACCGGGAGAUGCUGAAACUUUUGCAGACAACUUUAGCAAACACUAAGGUCAAGGAUGAGGAUUAUGUAGCGCUUUCGAAAGUUGUUCAUGACAUGCAGGCAACUUAUAGAGAGAUAACAGUCGAAUCUGGACUAAUGGAACCGGAUGGUGAAGGCCGGCCAUUGCUUUCACUUCAAGACCUGGAGAGCAGACUUGUGUUCACUAGAUGUAAACCAUUUGUAUUGAGUGCUCCAGGCCGACAGUGGAUUUUUGGUGGUGACCUGAGCCGCGUCGAGGGCAGGGCUGUACGCCCGUUCUGGGCUCUGCUUUUCACAGAUCUUCUCCUCUUUGCCAAAGUAAGCAGGGACAGGGUAAUAUUUGUGACUGAGGAGCCCCUACCGCUCAACAUGGUCAGCCAAGCAUUGUUCUCGAUAAGAAAAAAAGCAACGGAAUUCAGACUUUUAAUAAGUACAAGCCCUCCUGGAGAAGAAAGCCCGGCUGUGGGAGGGUGCGCUGAUCUUCCUCUGACCAGGACACCGAGGAAAGGGCCAAGGAGGAGAACUGUUGCUCUCAGAGCACCCACGACAGAACUGAAAGCCGUCUGGCAGAAUCUGAUCCAAAGGCAGAUAAUAUACGUGAACACGGCUAGGGGAGGAACUCCGGCUAGCAGCCCGAUGGAUUCGCCCGACCCUCUAACUGCCGAUUCGCUCGAGUCUGUCUCAAUGAAGCGACAGGUUCCAGAGCUGACUGAAAAACCCGGUGUUGUCGACCUGAUAGACCAUCGAUGCCGACAGUUAGGAAAGACAGGAGUUAGUAAAGAAAGUGCUAUGCAUUUGGCACAAUGGAUGAAAGGACAAUUAGGGGACGGUUCGCCUGAAACCGAAUCCGAGCCGGAAAUUUGGUCACCGAGCGCAUUGAGAAGAAGAGCUGCGACCAUGAAAGGAUUGGAGGGAGGGAUUCUGCCUAUUCAGAGGAGCAUAAGCCGAUGCGAAGAAAUUGAAAUAUCUGAUCAUGAACAGAGUACUUCUGACAGCCAGAAUACGGUGAAAUCUACAUCUGGCAACUCAGAGAAGCUGAUGGCUGUUUGCCGAAAAUGCCACAAGACUUGUCUUCCAAAUAAUAAAAAUAACAGCAGCGCUGUAGUAGAUAUUAAUGCAAAUGCGGCGAGGGAGGCGUUCACCGAUGAGAACAACUGGGGUAUCAGUUGCGAUGCGAAUCUGAGCCCAACUGACCCAUUCCUCCCAGUGCCGCAUAUUUCCGUCCAACCGCCUACACCAACAGCAGGUGGUGUCGCCAUCCACACCUCGCACAGUGGCAACAACAACUUCUGGGAAGAUUCAGAUAGUACAGUCAAGAAGGAGGACAAUAGUAACCACAGCAGUCCAAAUUUAUUUGGUGAGGAUAAUGAAGGUGAAAGCGAUGGCGAGAUCGAAGAACCUCCAUAUCAAUCUUUAUCACCUUGUGGACUCAAAAGAUAUGGGACCGUGAGCAGCCUUGAGAAGCUCGAUGAUGAUUCUGAUGAGGACACAAGCCGCGGAGAUCAUGAUGAACUUCCCCAAGAUGGUACAAACAACCAGCAUUUUGAAUCAGUUGGGCAAUCAAUCAGAGGAUGGACUGUCCGAGCAGGUACAUUUGUUGUUGAAAAAAUGGCAUUUUUUGAAAGAGUGACUGACGACUCAAAAGGAGUUUCCUUUAUCGAUAGAUAUUUACGUGGUGAUCCAAAACACAAUGAGGAACUUUUAGCUACAUCGACAAGUUUGGCUGGUGAAGAAGAAUGUGAGACUUCCGGUGCUACUUCAGGCGAAGAAGUGUGGGGAACGCCUACCAGCGGAGAUUCUGGCCUUACUUCACCGAACACCGAGUUUGCAGAAACGGUGGGAUCAGCUUUGGAUGAUGCAAGGGAACAGUUGAUGCUAGACAGGCUGUUGAGCGGGAUGAGCAUAAUGGGAAGCUUAGUGCCUUUAUGCCCUGUGACAAGGGGUUUUCCUCAACGAAGACGACUUGAUCCUCUUCCCGAAGACGAAGAAGAUACCAGUGACUCGACAUCGAUAGACAACAGCGAAGCAACAAAAAGCUACACAACUGAUCAAUGAUUGAUAUGCUGGAAGGGUAAUAAGUCUGACAGCUGUGCAGUUAAGGCCAAAUCUGCUACAAGCACACCACACAGGAUCUUCAAUAAGCUGAGGUUAAGGCGAAGCCAGUCUGCAGACUCUAAAUCACCCAGGCCUAAAAAAUUCAUGGAGUUCUUGAGAGGU
rnacentral:misc_RNA from 1 species